GUGCCGUGAGGUGUCGGGUUAAGUCCCAUAACGAGCGCAACCCCUAUCCUUAGUUGCCAUCAGUUCGGCUGGGAACUCUAAGGAGACUGCCCACGCAAGUGGAGAGGAAGGUGGGGAUGACGUCAAGUCAUCACGGCCCUUACGUCCGGGGCUACACACGUGAUACAAUGGUAGGUAUAAUGGGCAAAACCGCGAGGUUGAGGAAAUCCCCAAAACCUGCCUCAGUUCGGAUUGCAGUCUGCAACUCGACUGCAUGAAGCUGGAAUCGCUAGUAAUCGCAGAUCAGCAUGCUGCGGUCGAAUACGUUCCGGGCCUU
rnacentral:rRNA from 1 species